rnacentral:tRNA from 1 species
UUCCCUGUAGCUCAGUUGGUAGAGCAUGGUGUUUGCAACGCCAGGGUUAUGGGUUUGAUUCCCACGGGGGGU